UACGUAGGGCGCAAGCGUUUAUCCGGAAUUAUUGGGCGUAAAGAGCUCGUAGGCGGUUUGUCGCGUCUGCCGUGAAAGUCCGGGGCUCAACUCCGGAUCUGCGGUGGGUACGGGCAGACUAGAGGUGAUGUAGGGGAGACUGGAAAUUCCUGGGUGUAGCGGUGAAAAUGCGCAGAUAUCAGGAGGAACACCGGUGGCGAAGGCGGGGUCUCUGGGCCGAUACUGACGCUGGAGGAGCGAAAGCGUGGGGAGCGAACAGG
rnacentral:rRNA from 1 species